rnacentral:pre_miRNA from 3 species
CAAAGAAUUCUCCUUUUGGGCUUUCUGAUUUUAUUUUAAGCCCAAAGGUGAAUUUUUUGGG